GACGAACGCUGGCGGCGUGCUUAACACAUGCAAGUCGAACGGAAAGGCCCUGCUUUUGUGGGGUGCUCGAGUGGCGAACGGGUGAGUAACACGUGAGUAACCUGCCCUUGACUUUGGGAUAACUUCAGGAAACUGGGGCUAAUACCGGAUAGGAGCUCCUGCUGCAUGGUGGGGGUUGGAAAGUUUCGGCGAUUGGGGAUGGACUCGCGGCUUAUCAGCUUGUUGGUGGGGUAGUGGCUUACCAAGGCUUUGACGGGUAGCCGGCCUGAGAGGGUGACCGGCCACAUUGGGACUGAGAUACGGCCCAGACUCCUACGGUAGGCAGCAGUGGGGAAUAUUGCACAAUGGGCGGAAGCCUGAUGCAGCAACGCCGCGUGCGGGAUGACGGCCUUCGGGUUGUAAACCGCUUUCGCCUGUGACGAAGCGUGAGUGACGGUAAUGGGUAAAGAAGCACCGGCCAACUACGUG
rnacentral:rRNA from 1 species